AAUACAUCACUCUUCUGCAGCUGCAACUGAUCUAUCACAAGUUCUGCAAAACUCUAUGCAUGUAUGUUCAUGAACCUAACAUAGUGUCUACAAACAAACAUAAUCACAAACAGGACUAGAACUAUCUAAGGAGGGAGUGGAUCCUUUCGAAUAGGAGCACACUACGUUCCCCGGUCUCCGCUAAGUCUGCUAUGCUUAAGAACCCAUGGUUGGGAAAAUGAGUUUCUAUCUAUACAUUUUUCACACAGAAAAGACGACGAAGAAGAAGUAGUAGUUAUCUUUUGCUCUUCUUACCCCACCAAUUUCUACGAGUUUUCUCUGCUUCUGAAUAACCAAGCUUGUGUACCUUCGACUUUGUCUCCUUUAACCGAGCCUUGUAGUCUUUCUUCCAUUCGUCAAACUUGUGUCUGAGUCUUCGAAAAUCUUCUGCAGGACUAGUAGACUGUAACUGCCCUGACUUUAACUGACUAAUUGCCAAGGCUUCAUCAUCGAAAUUUUGUUUUCGUAGCUCAAACUCCCUGCUAAGGUAAUUGACUACACAUAAACCACCAUUAAUCUCUCUAAUACCUCCAAAAUCUACACCGUUGCUAGCAUAUUCUAUAGGAGUGCUG
rnacentral:misc_RNA from 1 species